AGAGUUUGAUCCUGGCUCAGAGCGAACGCUGGCGGCAGGCCUAACACAUGCAAGUCGAGCGGAUGUAGCAAUACAUCAGCGGCAGACGGGAGAGUAACACGUGGGAACGCGCCCUUCGGUUCGGAAUAACUCAGGGAAACUUGAGCUAAUACCGGAUACGCCCUUACGGGGAAAGAUUUAUUGCCGAAGGAACGGCCCGCGUCCGAUUAGCUAGUUGGUGAGGUAAUGGCUCACCAAGGCGACGAUCGGUAGCUGGUCUGAGAGGAUGACCAGCCUCACUGGGACUGAGACACGGCCCAGACUCCUACGGGAGGCAGCAGUGGGGAAUAUUGGACAAUGGGCGCAAGCCUGAUCCAGCCAUGCCGCGUGGGUGAUGAAGGCCCUAGGGUUGUAAA
rnacentral:rRNA from 1 species